UCUCGGCAAAUUAUCCUCAUAAGUUUGACAAGAAGAGGAACCAUGAAUUUUAGUAAGUUAAUAACUCCUAUUAAUUUAUUUAUAUGGUGGCACAAAAUCGGAAGCCCCGACUGUUUACUAAAAACACAACUAUCUGCAAUUAUGAAAAUAAUAGUAUAGGUAGUGAGAUUUGCCCAAUGCCAUAUUAAUAAGUAAUAAUAAUGGGUAACUGUUUCUUUACAAACAAUUGGUUAAUAGCGGUCUUAACUAUGAGGAUCCUAAGGUAGCAAAAUAAAUUGGCCAUUAAAUGUGGUCCAGUAUCAAUAAUUUAACGAUGGCUUCACUGUCUCUACAACUUGCUCAGUGAAAUUGAAUUACCCGUGCAGAUGCGGGUUACCUCAAAGAGGACGGGAAGACCCUAUGCAGCUUCUACCUGA
rnacentral:rRNA from 1 species